rnacentral:rRNA from 1 species
GACGAACGCUGGCGGCGCGCCUAACACAUGCAAGUCGAACGGAGCGGAGAGAAGCUUGCUUUUCUUAGCUUAGUGGCGGACGGGUGAGUAACGCGUGAGUAACCUGCCCUGGAGUGGGGGACAACAGUUGGAAACGACUGCUAAUACCGCAUAAGCUCACGAUCCGGCAUCGGAUUGAGGGAAAAGGAUUUAUUCGCUUCAGGAUGGAUUCGCGUCCGAUUAGUUAGCUGGUGGGGUAACGGCCCGCCAAGGCGACGAUUGGUAGCCGGACGGAGAGGUUGAACGGCCACAUUUGGACUGAGACACGGCCCAGACUCCUACGGGAGGCAGCAGUGGGGGAUAUUGCACAAUGGCGGAAGCCCUGAUGCAGCGACGCCGCGUGUAGGAAGAAUUUUGUCGGAUUGUAAUCUCCUGUCGUUAGGGACGAUAAUGACGGUACCUAACAAGAAAGCACCGGCUAACUACGUG